AACGUAGGGGGCAAGCGUUGCCCGGAUUCACUGGGCGUAAAGCGGGUGUAGGCGGUUCCUUAAGUCGGUUGUGAAAUCCCACGGCUCAACCGUGGAAUUGCGUCCGAUACUGGGGAACUUGAGGACGGUAGAGGUCGGUGGAAUUCCCGGUGUACCGGUGAAAUGGGCAGAUAUCGGGAGGAACACCAGUGGCGAAGGCGGCCGACUGGGCCGAUCCUGACGCUGAGACCCGAAAGCCAGGGUAGCGAACCGGAUUAGAAACCCCGGUAGUCC
rnacentral:rRNA from 1 species